CGCGAGUUGCCGCGAAGCCUGAGGAUCGCAUCACGGAAUCCAAGCACGCAAUCACUGUCGCGUCCUCGUCCAUCAUAGCUGUCGUCGUAGCUGCGCAGGCUAGGGGGGCAACAGCCACGAUCGUCUCCUCCACUAGUCUCCUCAAGAUGAUGCGAAGAACCCUAGAUUCUGGACUACUACGAUGACUACGAGGAGGAAGAUUACGCCCACAGCAGCUCAGCCUCAGCUCCGGGUAAGCGAUUCAUCGAUGAGCGCGGGAUUUAUCUCCAGAUCUCUUCCAGGAACAGCGCCGCAGCAACCAAUCUGGGCUUGCCCCAUCUGUACAUACGAUAAUCUGGAGGAACAUCAGUCGUGUGAGAUGUGUGGAGUGGUGCGAGACUCUUCACGCUUCCGGCUCUAAAUCACUCUAAAACUUGCUGAGCAAAACGAUUUGAAUCCAUCAAUGCAGUUGGAAGUGCGCGUCCAAGGCCUGAGCCUUCGCAGCUUGCAACGUCCUUGUUUGCUCCUCUCCCUCCUCUGGCACUCCAGAUUAAGCAUUAAGAUACGCGGGGCUCUUGGAGAUGCGGUUCCUUCCUUCUGCCGGUAGAGCAGCUACACCGCAGCUCUGAGCAAUCCAGGGUGGCCAUAGCCAUCCAGAAACACCUGCCUGCCAAGCUUGUUGUCCCAAAGAACCAAGUAGUCGUGCUCCCGCCGGAGGUUGAGCCCCCUAAUCGUCAGAACGAUGUCCCUGUGCUCGUGAUCCACAUAGAUGAGAUACGGUGGCACAAUCCUCUCCAGGUCGCUCGUCUUCUUCACCACAUUCUCGAGCGAGAUUUUGUAGCGCCACCGUCCAGGAGCUCCUAUCGGUCGCCCCGAUGUAGAUGCAUCGCUUGUACGCCCAGCGCGUAGCAGCGGCACUCCAAUCGCCACGGACAUCGCCGGGAAGAAAUUUACCUCGUCCUCCUCUCUAGCGCUUGUUCUGCCUCAACCAUCUCAAGCACGGCGGCUAGAUGGCGACAAAAAAGGCAUUCCUGUGUUUGUCCAGUUUGGUCGAAUCCUAGGCUAACUGAGUGGUGACGUUCGCAGAAGGAGGAUGGGAGGAGAAAAGCUAUGGGCGGUGAACAUGAUCUGUUUUGGUAUUUGUAGUUUCUUUGCUUGCGUCCAUGAAUGGAGAGUGGGUCCUUGUUUGACCGCUACAAGAUA
rnacentral:lncRNA from 1 species